rnacentral:rRNA from 1 species
AGUGUAGGCGGGAUCGUAAGUUAGGAGUUUAAUGCAUGGGCUUAACCCAUGAUCUGCUUUUAAUACUGCGGUUCUUGAGUAUGGGAGAGGGCGAUGGAAUUCCAGGUGUAGCAGUGGAAUGCGUAGAUAUCUGGAAGAACACCAGUAGCGAAGGCGGUCGCCUGGCCCAAUACUGACGCUGAUGCUCGAAAGCUAGGGGAGCAAACAGGAUUAGAUACCCUGGUAGUCCUAGCCGUAAACGAUGGACACUAGUUGCUGGAGGAGUCAAUCCUUUCGGUGACGAAGCUAACGCAUUAAGUGUCCCGCCUGGGAAGUACGCUCGCAAGGGUGAA